rnacentral:rRNA from 1 species
UUUUAUUUGAGAGUUUGAUCCUGGCUCAGGAUGAACGCUGGCGGCGUGCCUAACACAUGCAAGUUGAGCGAUUUACUUCGGUAAAGAGCGGCGGACGGGUGAGUAACGCGUGGGUAACCUACCCUGUACACACGGAUAACAUACUGAAAGGUAUGCUAAUACGGGAUAAUAUAUUUGAGAGGCAUCUCUUGAAUAUCAAAGGUGAGCCAGUACAGGAUGGACCCGCGUCUGAUUAGCUAGUUGGUAAGGUAACGGCUUACCAAGGCGACGAUCAGUAGCCGACCUGAGAGGGUGAUCGGCCACAUUGGAACUGAGACACGGUCCAAACUCCUACGGGAGGCAGCAGUGGGGAAUAUUGCACAAUGGGCGAAAGCCUGAUGCAGCAACGCCGCGUGAGUGAUGAAGGCCUUCGGGUCGUAAAACUCUGUCCUCAAGGAAGAUAAUGACGGUACUU